GUCGGCAUCUCAGAGGACCCAGAACAGCACGCGUGGCACUGAGAGUGGUCCAAAGAAACUGACAGUAAAAUGGGGAGUUGAAAUGAGCUCAUCUCCCACACAGCCAAGGAGGGGGACACAGUCGUGGCUGACAGGUUCUUCAUGAAAAUGAAAAGUGUGAAAUUAAAUGAAAAAAUCUGAAACUGAAAGAACUUUUUUGGACAAUAUUUUGAUCCCUUGCUGAUGUCACCAUGAACUCGAGAUACCCACCUGAGAAGACAACACCCAGAAACCCGCUCCUCCACGUGAUCAGCCCAAACGCAUUACCUCGUCACCUACCACACUGAGGGGCUGCAAUGACUUUGAACUGAAGAAAAAACCAGAUC